UUGAUAGGCAGGGUGUGUAAGCGCUGUGAGGCGUUGAGCUAACCUGUACUAAUUGCCCGUGAGGCUUGACCAUAUAACACCCAAGCAAUU
rnacentral:rRNA from 19 species